rnacentral:lncRNA from 1 species
AUGCCGGGGCUGGCUGAAGGAAGGGGCUGGUUGUCCCCCCCCCAGCCUGCCCCCCUGCCGCCGGGUGCCACCCCCAGCCGCCCGGUGGGCACGCAGGGCCCCAGACCCCUGCCCCAGCCGGCGCUGGCCCAGGGUUUCUCCGGGUGCCGAGUGCCCUCUGCCGGGAACCAGCGCGCCGGGCCCGAGCGGAGCGGAGCCCCCGCGGGUCGCCGGUGCCCUGGCGCGGGCCGAAGGGAAGGGCCGGGCGCCGGCAGAGCACGAGCAGGCCGAGCCGUCCCUGCCCUGUGCCACCGCCAGCUGCCUGCUCCGCUGCCGGCACCGUGCGCAGGAGGGGAAACUGAGGCAUGGUGGCCGCUGCCACCCGGGACGGGGUUAAAGGCGCUUGGUGCAGGGGGGCUGGCCCCAGGACGGCACGGCUGUGGCUUUCCUGGUGCAUCACUGCCGACACCCAAGGGACAAGGCUCUGGAUCUGGCGGACGGCGGGCACAGACCCCCGGCACAGAGACGGGGACAUCUGGGGACAGAGAGGGCCAGCAGCUGGGUCGGUUGGGCUACCAGGACGGGGGGCUUGUGGGAGUGGGAGAGCUUUGGGGGGGGGCUCCGUACACCCCUCGCGAGGCACCGCCAGCAGCCGGGCUGGGAGGGAGGACAGAGCCCGGGCCGGGGCCGGGAGAGAGGGGCAGCGAUUUGGGGCUGGAGGCGAGCGCUGCGGGAGCCGAGCUCUCCGGAAAAGCAGGGCUACGGGAGAGCAGCGAGGGGAAACCCACUGCCCGCCGGCUGCCCGGGGCCCUGCUACGGCAGCGACGUGCUCUCCCAUCGCCGUGCACGGCCGGAGAGCGAGAUAAAAAUAGCCCAGCUGGAGAAGCAGGCGCAGGCCGGAGGGCCGCGCUGGAUGCGGAUUUCGCCCGAGCGCACGAGGGGGUGGGAGCGCGGCACGGCCCGGGGAAAUGCCUCCCGCCUCCCCAAACGGGAAGCGUCGAGGUGCAAAGCUGCCUGUGCUAA